rnacentral:tRNA from 1 species
GUCCCCGUAGCUCAAUUGGAUAGAGUGUCAGCCUCCGGAGCUGAAGGUUGCAGGUUCGAGCCCUGCCGGGGACG